rnacentral:rRNA from 1 species
GACGAACGCUGGCGGCGUGCUUAACACAUGCAAGUCGAACGGAAAGGCCCUUCGGGGUACUCGAGUGGCGAACGGGUGAGUAACACGUGGGUGAUCUGCCCUGCACUUUGGGAUAAGCCUGGGAAACUGGGUCUAAUACCGAAUAGGACCACGCGCUUCAUGGUGUGUGGUGGAAAGCUUUUGCGGUGUGGGAUGGGCCCGCGGCCUAUCAGCUUGUUGGUGGGGUAAUGGCCUACCAAGGCGACGACGGGUAGCCGGCCUGAGAGGGUGGCCGGCCACACUGGGACUGAGAUACGGCCCAGACUCCUACGGGAGGCAGCAGUGGGGAAUAUUGCACAAUGGGCGCAAGCCUGAUGCAGCGACGCCGCGUGAGGGAUGACGGCCUUCGGGUUGUAAACCUCUUUCAAUAGGGACGAAGCGCAAGUGACGGUACCUAUAGAAGAAGCACCGGCCAACUACGUG